UACGUAGGGGGCAAGCGUUGUCCGGAUUUAUUGGGCGUAAAGAGCGUGUAGGCGGUUUGGUAGGUCCGUUGUGAAAACUCGAGGCUCAACCUCGAGACGCCGAUGGAAACCAUCAGACUAGAGUCCGGAAGAGGAGGGUGGAAUUCCUGGUGUAGCGGUGAAAUGCGCAGAUAUCAGGAAGAACACCCGUGGCUAAGGCGGCUCUCUAGUACGGUACUGACGCUGAGACGCGAAAGCGUGGGGAGCGAACAGG
rnacentral:rRNA from 1 species